rnacentral:rRNA from 1 species
GACGUAGGGCGCGAGCGUUGUCCGGAUUUAUUGGGCGUAAAGAGCUCGUAGGCGGCUUGUCGCGUCGAAUGUGAAAAUCUCAGGGCUCAACUCUGACAUUGCAUUCGAUACGGGCAGGCUAGAGUUCGGUAGGGGAGACUGGAAUUCCUGGUGUAGCGGUGAAAUGCGCAGAUAUCAGGAGGAACACCGGUGGCGAAGGCGGGUCUCUGGGCCGAUACUGACGCUGAGGAGCGAAAGCGUGGGGAGCGAACAGG